rnacentral:rRNA from 1 species
AUGGAAAACGGCGGGCAGACCGAACACACCAUUGAUCUGCCCAACACUGGGAAUCAUUUAGGUGAAGGCAGCAAGGAUGGGUUUGGCAUGGUUACUGACAGCACUAGGCAAGAUUCAGUUAAUGGAUUGUCCAGCAGGUCUUUAUUAUCCAGUAGCCCUGAACCUGAACCUGAACCCAUCCCUGUUGAUUUUGAGCUCCUGUGGAGACUGCGGAAGUAUUUAGUACUGCUUGGAGUCUUAGCAGUUACUGUGACAUACAAUGCUGGAUUAACACCACCAGGGGGAUCUUGGACACUAAACACGGAUGGCCAUGAUGCUGGUGACCCUGUCCUGCAUGUUGGCUACUCUCUAAGAUAUGAGGUAUUCUUUUACUGCAACACAACAGCCUUUGCUGCAUCUCUUGUCUUAGUCAUCUUGCUUCUAAGUAAGAGUGUGACGAAGCGGAAUAUAUGGCUCCGUUCAAUGCAAUUGACCAUGCUGCUGGACUUAUUUAGCCUGCUGGGGGCCUUUGCUGCUGGAAGCUGCAGGGCACCUAAGUCAUCCAUUUACAUCUGGAUUCUAGUCUUUGCUGUUUUUGUGUAUGUUGUGAUUCAUACCCUAGUAUCCAGAAGGGUUAUUCCAAAAUCAUUGAGAAAGAAGCUGCAAACAAUGAUGGAUGAAAUUCGAUCCAGACGCGGUGGCAGUGUCAGUUCCACACAAGCAAGCAGCAAUCCAGAGGAAGAUGUUGAGGAGGACCGUAAGUUCAUAUUGAUGCUUGCAACUUUUGCUGCUACUAUCACAUACCAAGCCGGAUUGAAUCCACCUGGAGGCUUUUGGGCUGAAAAUCCUUCUUAUGAGCAUCCUCCAGCUACCUCUAUUCUCCGCAGUAACUACCUUCACCGGUAUAAUAUUUUUAUUUGCUGCAAUGCGACUUCUUUUGUGGCAUCUUUGGUCACAAUCAUUCUUCUUCUGAGCCCAGAAUUGAGUAGCCAUGGAAUAAGGUCCAAAGCUGUGAUUGUGUGUGUCGUAUUUGACCUAUUUGGUCUGAUUGGGGCCUAUGCUGCAGGGUGCUGUAGGAGUGUAAGGACAUCUUUCUUUGUUGUGUUCAUUACUGUCAUAGUAUGGGUCUGCUUUGCGGUGUUAGCUGCGGCAUUUGUUUACAAACCUGUAGCAGACUGGCUGCAAAAGAUCAAAGAUCAUAAGUGCUUCAAAAAACUUGGUCGGCUCUUUUCACUGGAAUCAGGAAAUUCAGAGCAAGAUCAUUCUCAUGCAACUGGUCAGCAUACUACAGACCUUGCAACAGUUACGCCAGAAGAAGGCAGUGCUUCUGACACAGAAAACCGAGUUCAAAACAGCAAACAGGAUGGAAUCCUUAGGGAGCAUCAGCAUGCAGACAGCCAGAAAAUUGCAAAUAAUGAGGAGGCUGAGCCCAGCUCAGAGCAACCAUCGGUCAAUGACCCGCAACCAGGAAAUACCACAAAUAUUGUGUUCAACCCAGAGGGUCAGUGUAUAGACUGCCAAUCAGUUGCAAAUGAUGCAGUCUCUGACACAGGACAUCCUUCAAUCAAAUGCCACCAAGCUACAAAUACUGUGAAUCAAGUGCCUAGCACUGAUAAUCAUUCCGCAGACAAUCAGCAAGAUGCAAGUAAGAAGGAACAGCUGUCUCCAAAUAAUGGCCCAAAGACUGCAAAUAUUGUUGACUAUAUGCCCAAGAAGCAAGUUGCAGAUACGAAAGGUCAAUCUUCAUCAACUGAUGAAUGCAAGGAUGCAGUUAUUUUAGUGGAUGAUUCGUCUGAACAAACAACGUCAGAUAAUCACUGCAAUGGAGCCACCAACGAUCACCAAGUACAGCAAGUGCAUUCUGAUGGGCCUAUGAGAACCAGUGAGAUUGAGAUGGUUGGAAGUAAUAACAUUGUUGUGCCUUAUGAAAAUGGCAAUGUUGACAAGAAAGGAGGUCCCACUGAAGAUAGCAGCAAAAAGAAUUCUGAUGACGGACCAACUUCGGAACCUCUGAAGAAGUCCCGCACAUACCUACUUCUUCUUGCCAUUCUGGCAGUUUCUCUGACAUAUCAAUCAGGUUUGAAUCCGCCAGGUGGCUUCUGGUCAAGAACAGAGAAUGGUCAUUCAGCUGGUGAUCCCAUCCUUGAGGACAAUCACCAUCCCCGUUAUAUUGCAUUCUUCUAUCUGAAUGCAGUCGCGUUUGUUGCAUCCUUUGUCAUGAUCAUUAUGCUCCUGAACAAGAGGAUAAGCGAGAAGGCUACAAAACGAUUUGCUCUACAGAUAGCAAUGAUAGUGGACCUUCUUGCCCUAAUGGGGGCUUAUGUUAUGGGAAGCUCCAGGGAGGCAAGGAGCUCCAUGUACAUCUCAUUGUUGGUGGGCCUUGUACUUGCUUAUGUUGGCAUUCAUCUUUUGAUAGCACAUGUAAUCCCUGAAGGGUGGAAAAAAGUGGUGGCUGAAAAGCUAAAGCUCUUCUCGUGCAAACAUUUGUGGCCCAAAUUGCAUCAGGAUGGCGAAAACCAGAAUGGGGAUGUUGACGGGAAGGAGUGGGAGCGGAGGCGUAAUCUGCUAUUGAUUCUUGCUGUUCUAGCUGCAACUGUCACAUACCAAGCUGGUAUAAACCCUCCAGGAAGUGUAUGGUCAGAUGACAAGAAGGUCAGUGGCACACCAGGCAGUCCAAUCCUUCAGCACAAUCAUUCAAAACGCUAUGAUGUGUUCUACUACUCAAAUUCAGUUACAUUCGUGUCAUCUGUAGUUAUCACGAUACUACUUGUGAACAAGGAAUCAUGUGAGCGUGGCAUCAAGUGCUAUGCACUGCGAGUAUGUCUGGUGGUGGGCUUGGUUGGCCUCUUGAUUGCCUAUGCUGCAGGAAGCUGCAGGAAAGCAAAAGAAUCUAAGUAUCUCAUCAUCAUCGCUGUUGCAGUUCUGGCCUUCCUUGUGAUUCAAGUCCUUAUACUCUCUUCGACACAUGGUACAGUAUGGGGGCCGUUGAGCAAAUUCUUGGAAGACUCUCUGAAACGGCUUCUUCGUCCAAAAGAGUCCAGGCAAGAAACUGUUUCUGAGCGGCAAGAAAGUUCGGAUCAGAAUGAGAAAGAAAAGAGAAAGAGGCAUAAAUAUCUGAUGCUCCUUGCAGUUUUAGCAGCCUCCAUCACAUACCAAGCUGGUCUGAACCCGCCUGGUGGUUUCUGGUCUGAUGAUUCCAACCAUGUUGCAGGAAAUCCAGUCCUUCAUGAUAUUCAUCCCUGGCGCUACAGAGCAUUCUUCAUCUUCAAUGGUAUCUCCUUCAUGACAUCUAUUGUCGUGAUAAUGUUUCUGUUGAAAAAGGCUGUGAGGAGGAAUGGUGUUCUACUGGAGGUAUUGCAUUUGAUCAUGAUACUGGAUCUGCUAGCUCUUAUGACAGCUUUUGCUGCGGGAAGCUGCCGAAAAUUAAGGACUUCAAUGUAUGUCUAUGGGCUAGUAAUUGCGGUUGCAGUAUACCUCGUGGUUGCAAUUGGUGUAGCGAGCGGCAUUGCGAAGUGUCUGAGACCAAGGCAAAGAAAUGGGCAUUCCCUCGAAGGCAAUCCUGAAAGUGCUUCCACAACAAACCCGCCGAUAGCUGCACAACAAGUUUGA